rnacentral:misc_RNA from 1 species
CCUCCAAUUGUCUUCCAUGGGAAGUCAUUGACUGGCAUACUUCCAGCAAUUGAUGUCAUCUCUGACCAUUUAUUGGUUGGGAUUUUCUACCUAGUGGGCUUUGGCUUGUUUUGCUUGGAAUCUCUUCUUAGCUUGUGGGUUCUCCAGAAAAUUUACAUGUAUUUCAGGGGGCAUAAAUGAGAACAUAAAGGUUUGGUGAUCCCAUUCAAAGUCUGUGUCUUCAUGUGGCUUCAGUAUAUUCUUUUCUUAUCUUUUUGUUCUCAUGUAUUCUUCUUGUGAUUUUUU